CCUAACGUAGCUUAAGUGGUUAAAGCCCCGGCUUGUGGUGCCGGUGAUUGCGGUUCGAGUCCGCACGUGAGGAC
rnacentral:tRNA from 1 species